rnacentral:rRNA from 1 species
UAAGGAGGAUGCAAGCGUUAUCCGGAUUCAUUGGGUUUAAAGGGUGCGUAGGCGGGGCGGUAAGUCAGUGGUGAAAGCCUGCAGCUUAACUGUAGAAUUGCCAUUGAUACUGUCGCUCUUGAAUGCGGUUGAGGCAGGCGGAAUGUGUAAUGUAGCGGUGAAAUGCUUAGAUAUUACACAGAACACCGAUUGCGUAGGCAGCUUGCUAAACCGUGAUUGACGCUGAGGCACGAAAGUGCGGGGAGCAAACAGG